AACGAACGCUGGCGGCAGGCCUAACACAUGCAAGUCGAGCGAGACCUUCGGGUCUAGCGGCGGACGGGUGAGUAACGCGUGGGAACGUGCCCUUUUCUACGGAAUAGCCUCGGGAAACUGAGCGUAAUACCGUAUACGCCCUUUGGGGGAAAGAUUUAUCGGAGAAGGAUCGGCCCGCGUUGGAUUAGGUAGUUGGUGGGGUAAUGGCCCACCAAGCCUACGAUCCAUAGCUGGUUUGAGAGGAUGAUCAGCCACACUGGGACUGAGACACGGCCCAGACUCCUACGGGAGGCAGCAGUGGGGAAUCUUAGACAAUGGGGGCAACCCUGAUCUAGCCAUGCCGCGUGAGUGAUGAAGGCCUUAGGGUUGUAAAGCUCUUUCAGCUGGGAAGAUAAUGACGGUACCAGCAGAAGAAGCCCCGGCUAACUCCGU
rnacentral:rRNA from 1 species